rnacentral:rRNA from 1 species
UGAGUACUAGGGUCGUCGGGGGUUACCCCCCUCGGUGCCGCAGCUAACGCAUUAAGUACUCCGCCUGGGGAGUACGCACGCAAGUGUGAAACUCAAAGGAAUUGACGGGGACCCGCACAAGUAGCGGAGCAUGUGGUUUAAUUCGAAGCAACGCGAAGAACCUUACCUAAGCUUGACAUCCCUUAGACCGGUGUUUAAUCACACCUUCCCUUCGGGGCUGAGGUGACAGGUGGUGCAUGGCUGUCGUCAG